UACGGAGGGAGCUAGCGUUGUUCGGAAUUACUGGGCGUAAAGCGCGCGUAGGCGGCUUUGUAAGUUAGAGGUGAAAGCCCGGGGCUCAACCCCGGAAUUGCCUUUAAGACUGCAUCGCUAGAAUCCGGGAGAGGUGAGUGGAAUUCCGAGUGUAGAGGUGAAAUUCGUAGAUAUUCGGAAGAACACCAGUGGCGAAGGCGACAUACUGGUCCGUUACUGACGCUGAGGCUCGAAAGCGUGGGGAGCAAACAGG
rnacentral:rRNA from 1 species